CAAGUAAAUCAGAUAGUCGCAGAUUUUUUAAUCUGAGGAAAGUCGGAGCUCCGCAGGGCAGGGUGCUGGAUAACGUCCAGUGGGGGCGACCCCAAGGCUAGUGCCACAGAAACAGACCGCCUGGCAGCAGCCAGGUAAGGGUGGAACGGUGAGGUAAGAGCUCACCAGCGUUUAGGCGACUAAACGGCUCGGUAAACCCCACCCGGAGCAAGACCAAAUAGGGGAACAAUAGAGUGGCCCGCUCUGUUCCCGGGUAAGGUCGCUAGAGGUGUCAGGCAACUGGCAUCCCAGAUAGAUGACUAUCUAAUACAGAACUCCGCUUACAGAUUUACUUGCUGC
rnacentral:RNase_P_RNA from 1 species